rnacentral:rRNA from 1 species
CAGCAGCCACGGUAAUGCGUAGGUGGCAAGCGUUGUCCGGAAUUAUUGGGCGUAAAGGGCUCGCAGGCGGUUUCUUAAGUCUGAUGUGAAAGCCCCCGGCUCAACCGGGGAGGGUCAUUGGAAACUGGGAAACUUGAGUGCAGAAGAGGGGAGUGGAAUUCCACGUGUAGCGGUGAAAUGCGUAGAGAUGUGGAGGAACACCAGUGGCGAAGGCGACUCUCUGGUCUGUAACUGACGCUGAGGAGCGAAAGCGUGGGGAGCGAACAGGAUUAGAUACCCGUGUAGUCCCUGUCUCUUAUAC